rnacentral:tRNA from 1 species
GCCUUCGUGGCGCAGUUGGUAGCGCAGUAGUCUCAUAAUCUAAAGGUCGUGAGUUCGAGUCUCACCGAGGGCA